rnacentral:rRNA from 1 species
AGUGAACGCUGGCGGUAGGCCUAACACAUGCAAGUCGAGCGGCAGCACAGUAAGAGCUUGCUCUUACGGGUGGCGAGUGGCGGACGGGUGAGGAAUACAUCGGAAUCUACUUUUUCGUGGGGGAUAACGUAGGGAAACUUACGCUAAUACCGCAUACGACCUACGGGUGAAAGCAGGGGAUCUUCGGACCUUGCGCGAUUGAAUGAGCCGAUGUCGGAUUAGCUAGUUGGCGGGGUAAAGGCCCACCAAGGCGACGAUCCGUAGCUGGUCUGAGGGGAUGAUCAGCCACACUGGAACUGAGACACGGUCCAGACUCCUACGGGAGGCAGCAGUGGGGAAUAUUGGACAAUGGGCGCAAGCCUGAUCCAGCCAUACCGCGUGGGUGAAGAAGGCCUUCGGGUUGUAAAGCCCUUUUGUUGGGAAAGAAAAGCAGCAGGUUAAUACCCCGCUGUUCUGACGGUACCCAAAGAAUAAGCACCGGCUAACUUCGUG